rfam:Mahella australiensis 50-1 BON, complete genome.
UUGAAAUAUUGCGUAGGCAUACUCAAUGAGUACAGCGCAGAGCAAGCGUAGGCCGGGCAUGGACGCCCGGCCAGCCGGCACUGAGCAUGGACGUGAAUUGCCGGCGCUAGCUUGCUCAAGCGGAACAAAUUUUUAGUAUGCCAGCAAUAUUUCAC